GCCGGGGUGGUGGAAUUGGUAGACACGCAGGACUUAAAAUCCUGUGGGCCGAAACGCCCGUACGGGUUCGACCCCCGUCCCCGGUACCA
rnacentral:tRNA from 1 species